GACGAACGCUGGCGGCGUGCUUAACACAUGCAAGUCGAACGGAAAGGCCCUGCUUUUGUGGGGUGCUCGAGUGGCGAACGGGUGAGUAACACGUGAGUAACCUGCCCUUGACUUUGGGAUAACUUCAGGAAACUGGGGCUAAUACCGGAUAGGAGCUCCUGCUGCAUGGUGGGGGUUGGAAAGUUUCGGCGGUUGGGGAUGGACUCGCGGCUUAUCAGCUUGUUGGUGGGGUAGUGGCUUACCAAGGCUUUGACGGGUAGCCGGCCUGAGAGGGUGACCGGCCACAAUGGGACUGAGAUACGGCCCAGAGUCCUACGGGAGGCAGCAGUGGGGAAUAUUGCACAAUGGGCGGAAGCCUGAUGCAGCAACGCCGCGUGCGGGAUGACGGCCUUCGGGUUGUAAACCGCUUUCGCCUGUGACGAAGCGUGAGUGACGGUAAUGGGUAAAGAAGCACCGGCUAACUACGUG
rnacentral:rRNA from 1 species